rnacentral:rRNA from 1 species
GACGAACGCUGGCGGCGUGCCUAAUACAUGCCAGUUGAGCGCUGAAGGUUGGUACUUGUACCGACUGGAUGAGCAGCGAACGGGUGAGUAACGCGUGGGGAAUCUGCCUUUGAGCGGGGGACAACAUUUGGAAACGAAUGCUAAUACCGCAUAAAAACUUUAAACACAAGUUUUAAGUUUGAAAGAUGCAAUUGCAUCACUCAAAGAUGAUCCCGCGUUGUAUUAGCUAGUUGGUGAGGUAAGGCUCACCAAGGCGAUGAUACAUAGCCGACCUGAGAGGGUGAUCGGCCACAUUGGGACUGGGACACGGCCCAAACUCCUACGGGAGGCAGCAGGAGGGAAUCUUCGGCAAUGGACGAAAGUCUGACCGAGCAACGCCGCGUGAGUGAAGAAGGGUUUCGGAUCGUAAAACUCUGUUGGUAGAGAAGAACGUUGGUGAGAGUGGAAAGCUCAUCAAGUGACGGUAACUACCCAGAAAGGGACGGCUAACUACGUG